GAUGAACGCUGGCGGCGUGCCUAAUACAUGCAAGUCGAGCGAACAGACGAGGAGCUUGCUCCUCUGACGUUAGCGGCGGACGGGUGAGUAACACGUGGAUAACCUACCUAUAAGACUGGGAUAACUUCGGGAAACCGGAGCUAAUACCGGAUAAUAUAUUGAACCGCAUGGUUCAAUAGUGAAAGACGGUUUUGCUGUCACUUAUAGAUGGAUCCGCGCCGCAUGAGUUAGUUGGUAAGGUAACGGCUUACCAAGGCAACGACGCGUAGACGACCUGAGAGGGGGAUCGGCGACACGGGAUGUGAGACACGGUCCAGACACCUACGGGGGGAAGCAGUAGGGAAUCUUACGCAAUGGGGGAGAGCCGGACAGAGCAACACGGGGGGAGUGAUGAAGGUCUUCGGAUCGUAAAGCUCUGUUAUUAGGAAGGAACAAAAGUGUAAGUAACUGUGCAGGUCAUGACGGUACCUAGACAAUAAGCCACGGCUAACUACGUG
rnacentral:rRNA from 1 species